rnacentral:rRNA from 1 species
GGGCAACCCUGAUCCAGCCAUGCCGCGUGAGUGAAGAAGGCCUUCGGGUUGUAAAGCUCUUUCGGACGGAAAGAAAUCGCCGCCUCUAACAUAGGCGGUGGAUGACGGUACCGUAAGAAGAAGCACCGGCUAACUACGUGCCAGCAGCCGCGGUAAUACGUAGGUGGCGAGCGUUGUCCGGAAUUACUGGGCGUAAAGGGUGUGCAGGCGGAUAUUUAAGUAAGAUGUGAAAGACCCGGGCUUAACCCGGGCAGUGCAUUUCAAACUGGAUAUCUAGAGUGCAGGAGAGGAGAACGGAAUUCCUAGUGUAGCGGUGAAAUGCGUAGAGAUUAGGAAGAACACCAGUGGCGAAGGCGGUUCUCUGGACUGUAACUGACGCUGAGGCACGAAAGCGUGGGUAGCAAACA